GACGAACGCUGGCGGCGUGCUUAACACAUGCAAGUCGAACGGAAAGGCCCUGCUUUUGUGGGGUGCUCGAGUGGCGAACGGGUGAGUAACACGUGAGUAACCUGCCCUUGACUUUGGGAUAACUUCAGGAAACUGGGGCUAAUACCGGAUAGGAGCUCCUGCUGCAUGGUGGGGGUUGGAAAGUUUCGGCGGUUGGGGAUGGACUCGCGGCUUAUCCGCUUGUUGGUGGGGUAGUGGCUUACCAAGGCUUUGACGGGUAGCCGGCCUGAGAGGGUGACCGGCCACAUUGGGACUGAGAUACGGCCCAGACUCCUACGGGAGGCAGCAGUGGGGAAUAUUGCACAAUGGGCGGAAGCCUGAUGCAGCAACGCCGCGUGCGUGAUGACGGCCUUCGGGUUGUAAACCGCUUUCGCCUGUGACGAAGCGUGAGUGACGGUAAUGGGUAAAGAAGCACCGGCUAACUACGUG
rnacentral:rRNA from 1 species